rnacentral:rRNA from 1 species
AUGAAAUCCUCCAACAUUCCUCGAAUCCCCUCGACAUUGCCGCGCCAUUCCGAGUCUCGGUCGCUAAUGGCAAUGCAGACGAGCACGGCGCAACCGCUGCCGCUGCCCCCGCGUCUCUCGACCUCCCCGCCUUCCUCGCCGGCCACCGUCGGCGCCCUCCUCACCAAUGCUGCCUGCGCCAGCAGGAUCCGGCGCGAGUGCCGCUCACCACGGUCCUUGCUGGCGCGCAUUUUCGGCAGGGGCAGCGGCGGGUUCGGCUGCCGCAUGCGCAUCCCCCGCUACUGCUCCAGCGGCGCCGGAGCGGCCGCCGAGGAGGACGCCGUACAGGAGGAGGUGGCCGCGCCUAAGGUGGUCGUGGCGAGCAAGCAAGAAGCAGAGGUUCGCGAGUCGCCUCGGAGUUCCCUGCAGGGGUUGAAGGCGGCGCCGGAGGUGUCGGCGGCGAGCCUCGGGCUGGGCGCGGGCCUGGUGCUGCUGCUGUCCAGGGGCGCGGCGGAGCUGAGCAGGAUGGCGGAGCUGCGCGCCCAGAAGGAGCGGCUGGUGAUGGACGUCAGGGCGGAGGCGCGUGGCAGCAGCCGCUCCGACUUGUCUGACGGCGGCCAUGUCGACGACGGUGCCAGCGUCGUGAAGGAGCGCAUCGUCUUUGCUGACGCCGGCGGCGAGGACGCCUCGUUGUUCCGUGGUUCACGCGAUGCCGCCUCGGCGUGCGGCGAUGCCGGCGUUGGAGAUGCUGUCGCUGCGAUGGAUCAGAUGGAAGCGGAGCUCGAGGCGGAACUGACGCGCCUGCAGCUCGACUCCGACGAGGGCGACGGGGAGGAGGAAUGCGUGAGACCGCGGCGAGAUCACCAGCUCGAGUCCGAGGCGAAGAGCGACAUCUCAUCGGAGAGCGGCUCCCUUGCUUGCGUCCACAUAGACGGUGUCCUCGGUGACGCGGCAAGAGAUUGCAAGGAACACGAAGACAACGAGGAGGAGGAGGAGGAGGAGGAGGGAGAUACUGACGAGGAGGUCGAAGAGAGCAAGCCGUGCCACGGCGGCGUGCCGGCGCGGGUGCUGGAGCGGAGGCUGCACGAGCUCCUGCAGUUGCGGCACGAGCAGCGGAUCGCGGAGCUGGAGACGGAGCUGCAGCGCGCGCAGAGGAAGCUGCGGGACAAGGAGCGCGAGGUGUCCCGGUGGCGUGACACCGCCAAGCUCGUCUCCCGCCACAAGGACGAGUCGCGGCUCCGGUAG